GAGACAGCAGCCGCCGCGGGAAAACGAAGGGUGCAAGCGUUACUCGGAAUUACUGGGCGUAAAGCGUGCGUAGGUGGUGGUUUAAGUCCGUUGUGAAAGCCCUGGGCUCAACCUGGGAAUUGCAGUGGAUACUGGGUCACUAGAGUGUGGUAGAGGAUAGUGGAAUUUCCGGUGUAGCAGUGAAAUGCGUAGAGAUCGGAAGGAACAUCUGUGGCGAAGGCGACUAUCUGGGCCAACACUGACACUGAGGCACGAAAGCGUGGGGAGCAAACAGGAUUAGAUACCCCCGUAGUUCCGUCUCUUAUACA
rnacentral:rRNA from 1 species